rnacentral:rRNA from 1 species
UGGGGAAUAUUGGACAAUGGGCGAAAGCCUGAUCCAGCCAUGCCGCGUGUGUGAAGAAGGUCUUCGGAUUGUAAAGCACUUUAAGUUGGGAGGAAGGGCAGUAAGCGAAUACCUUGCUGUUUUGACGUUACCGACAGAAUAAGCACCGGCUAACUCUGUGCCAGCAGCCGCGGUAAUACAGAGGGUGCAAGCGUUAAUCGGAAUUACUGGGCGUAAAGCGCGCGUAGGUGGUUCGUUAAGUUGAAUGUGAAAGCCCCGGGCUCAACCUGGGAACUGCAUCCAAAACUGGCGAGCUAGAGUAGGGCAGAGGGUGGUGGAAUUUCCUGUGUAGCGGUGAAAUGCGUAGAUAUAGGAAGGAACACCAGUGGCGAAGGCGACCACCUGGGCUCAUACAGACACUGAGGUGCGAAAGCGUGGGGAGCAAACAGG